rnacentral:rRNA from 1 species
UAGGGAAUCUUCGGCAAUGGGGGGAACCCUGACCGAGCAACGCCGCGUGAGUGAAGAAGGUUUUCGGAUCGUAAAGCUCUGUUGUUAAGGAAGAACGAGUGUGAGAAUGGAAAGUUCAUGCUGUGACGGUACUUAACCAGAAAGCCACGGCUAACUACGUGCCAGCAGCCGCGGUAAUACGUAGGUGGCAAGCGUUGUCCGGAAUUAUUGGGCGUAAAGCGCGCGCAGGUGGUUUAGAAAGUCUGAUGUGAAAGCCCACGGCUCAACCGUGGAGGGUCAUUGGAAACUAAUAAACUUGAGUGCAGGAGAGAAAAGUGGAAUUCCUAGUGUAGCGGUGAAAUGCGUAGAUAUUGGGAGGAACACCAGUAGCGAAGGCGGCUUUCUGGACUGCAACUGACACUGAGGCACGAAAGCGUGGGUAGCAAACAGG